UACGGAGGGUGCAAGCGUUAAUCGGAAUUACUGGGCGUAAAGCGCACGCAGGUGGCUGAGUCAGUCGAUUGUGAAAGCCCUGGGCUUAACCUGGGAAUUGCAGUCGAUACUACUCAGCUAGAGUAUGGGAGAGGGCAGUGGAAUUCCCGGUGUAGCGGUGAAAUGCGUAGAUAUCGGGAGGAACAUCAGUGGCGAAGGCGGCUGCCUGGCCCAAUACUGACACUCAGGUGCGACAGCGUGGGGAGCAAACAGGG
rnacentral:rRNA from 1 species